UACAGAGGGUGCGAGCGUUAAUCGGAAUUACUGGGCGUAAAGCGUGCGUAGACGGUUAUUUAAGUCGGAUGUGAAAGCCCCGGGCUCAACCUGGGAAUUGCAUUCGAGACUGAAUAGCUAGGGUACGGUAGAGGGAAGUGGAAUUUCCGGUGUAGCGGUGAAAUGCGUAGAUAUCGGAAGGAACAUCAGUGGCGAAAGCGACUUCCUGGACCAAUACUGACGCUCAUGUGCGAAAGCGUGGGGAGCAAACAGG
rnacentral:rRNA from 1 species